rnacentral:rRNA from 1 species
CAGGCCUAACACAUGCAAGUCGAACGGUAAGGUCCAGCUUGCUGGAUACACGAGUGGCGCACGGGUGAGUAACGCGUAUGCGACCUACCCUUAACUGGGGGAUAGCCCGAAGAAAUUCGGAUUAAUACCCCAUAACAUCACGUAUUCGCAUGAAUAUGUGAUUAAAACUCCGGUGGUUAAGGAUGGGCAUGCGUGACAUUAGUUAGUUGGUGAGGUAACGGCUCACCAAGGCGACGAUGUCUAGGGGGCCUGAGAGGGUGAUCCCCCACACUGGUACUGAGACACGGACCAGACUCCUACGGGAGGCAGCAGUGAGGAAUAUUGCGCAAUGGACGAAAGUCUGACGCAGCCAUGCCGCGUGCAGGAUGACGGCCCUACGGGUUGUAAACUGCUUUUUUACAGGAAGAAUCUUCCGCACGUGUGCGGGAUUGACGGUACUGUAUGAAUAAGCAUCGGCUAACUCCGUGCCAGCAGCCGCGGUAAUACGGAGGAUGCAAGCGUUAUCCGGAUUUAUUGGGUUUAAAGGGUGCGUAGGCGGAAUAAUAAGUCAGUGGUGAAAUACUGCAGCUUAACUGUAGAACUGCCAUUGAUACUGUUAUUCUUGAGUGCGAUUGAGGUAGGCGGAAUGUGUAAUGUAGCGGUGAAAUGCUUAGAUAUUACACAGAACACCGAUUGCGUAGGCAGCUUACUAAGUCGUAACUGACGCUGAGGCACGAAAGCGUGGGGAUCGAACAGGAUUAGAUACCCUGGUAGUCCACGCUGUAAACGAUGAUCACUAGCUGUUGGCGAUAGACCGAUCAGCGGCAAAGCGAAAGCAUUAAGUGAUCCACCUGGGGAGUACGAUCGCAAGAUUGAAACUCAAAGGAAUUGACGGGGGCCCGCACAAGCGGAGGAACAUGUGGUUUAAUUCGAUGAUACGCGAGGAACCUUACCUGGGCUUAAAUGCAGGA